rnacentral:rRNA from 1 species
AGAGUUUGAUCCUGGCUCAGGACGAACGCUGGCGGCGUGCUUAACACAUGCAAGUCGAACGGAAAGGCCCCUUCGGGGGUACUCGAGUGGCGAACGGGUGAGUAACACGUGGGUGAUCUGCCCUGCACUCUGGGAUAAGCCUGGGAAACUGGGUCUAAUACCGGAUACACCCUUCUGGUCGCAUGGCCUGGGAGGGGAAAGCUUUUGCGGUGUGGGAUGGGCCCGCGGCCUAUCAGCUUGUUGGUGGGGUGAUGGCCUACCAAGGCGACGACGGGUAGCCGGCCUGAGAGGGCGUCCGGCCACACUGGGACUGAGAUACGGCCCAGACUCCUACGGGAGGCAGCAGUGGGGAAUAUUGCACAAUGGGCGCAGGCCUGAUGCAGCGACGCCGCGUGGGGGAUGACGGCCUUCGGGUUGUAAACCUCUUUCAGCAUCGACGAAGCGCAAGCGACGGUAGAUGCAGAAGAAGCACCGGCCAACUACGUGCCAGCAGCCGCGGUAAUACGUAGGGUGCGAGCGUUGUCCGGAAUUACUGGGCGUAAAGAGCUCGUAGGUGGUUUGUCGCGUUGUUCGUGAAAACUCACAGCUUAACUGUGGGCGUGCGGGCGAUACGGGCAGACUAGAGUACUGCAGGGGAGACUGGAAUUCCUGGUGUAGCGGUGGAAUGCGCAGAUAUCAGGAGGAACACCGGUGGCGAAGGCGGGUCUCUGGGCAGUAACUGACGCUGAGGAGCGAAAGCGUGGGGAGCGAACAGGAUUAGAUACCCUGGUAGUCCACGCCGUAAACGGUGGGUACUAGGUGUGGGUUUCCUUCCUUGGGAUCCGUGCCGUAGCUAACGCAUUAAGUACCCCGCCUGGGGAGUACGGCCGCAAGGCUAAAACUCAAAUGAAUUGACGG